rnacentral:rRNA from 1 species
UAAUUAAGCGGAGGAAAAGAAACUAACUAGGAUUCCCUCAGUAACGGCGAGUGAAGCGGGAUGAGCUCAGGAUGUAAAUCUGCGCUAUUAAAGCGCCGAAUUGUGGUCUGUAGACUUUGGUGUUAUCUGCCGGGCCAAGUUCCUUGGAAAAGGACAGCUGAGAGGGUGAGACUCCCGUCCGCCUGGUAGAGUGAGCCUUUGUCAAAGAGUCGAGUUGUUUGGGAUUGCAGCUCUAAUUUGGUGGUAAAUUCCAUCUAAAGCUAAAUAUUGGUGGGAGACCGAUAGCGUACAAGUACCGUGAGGGAAAGAUGCAAAGAACUUUGAAAAGAGAGUUAAAGAGUACCUGAAAUUGCUGAAACGGAAGCGAAGGAAACCAGUGUUUGUUUGUUCAUAUUUCCCUGACCACUUGUGGUUUGGGCGCUGUGGGCUUGCGUCGGUUUGCUUUGGUUAAUCCCUUUGGAAGAGCGCAGUCAGAGUUGAUGUCUGUUGCUAGCACUGGGUUUGACUUGAGUAGACGAAAUGGUUUUCUUUACCCCG